rnacentral:rRNA from 1 species
CGUAGAGUUGACUCUGGCGUCAGGACGACGCUGGCGGCGUGCCUAAUACAUGCAAGUCGAACGGAGAUAUUCGCUGAUGAAGUACUUCGGUAAUGAAUCUUGGAUAUCUUAGUGGCGACGGGUGAGUAACGCGUGAGCAACCUGCCUUUCAGAGGGGGAUAACGUUUGGAACGAACGCUAAUACCGCAUGACAUUAUCUUAUCGCAUGGUAGGAUAAUCAAAGGAGCAAUCCGCUGAAAGAUGGGCUCGCGUCCGAUUAGGUAGUUGGUGGGGUAACGGCCCACCAAGCCGACGAUCGGUAGCCGGACUGAGAGGUUGGACGGCCACAUUGGGACUGAGACACGGCCCAGACUCCUACGGGAGGCAGCAGUAAGGGAUAUUGGUCAAUGGGGGAAACCCUGAGCCAGCAACGCCGCGUGAGGGAAGACGGUUUUCGGAUUGUAAACCUCUGUCCUCUGUGAAGAUGAUGACGGUAGCAGAGGAGGAAGCUCCGGCUAACUACGUG